CUAUUGAGUGAACGUUGGGACAGAGAGGACGAGCAUAAAGCAGAAGCGACCUGAACAGGGGAGAGCGGAACAGACAGAGGAGAGGAGAUACCUACUGGGCUCACUGGGCUGAACCCUGGGACUUUGGUUUCAGCUGCUACAUGUGAAAAACCUGAAAGUCUCCACUCCCACCCUUAAGUACCAAACUGGAAAGAACCCGGCUGUCCUCCAGCAGGUGAAUGGUUCAAUGAAUCCUGGUACAUCCACCCGGUGGACUACGAUGCAGGGACAAAAAGGGAAGACCUACUGAGACACGCACCAAACAUGGAGAGUCUCCAGACCACUACAGUGAGUGAGAAGUCCCCCAGAAGUUACCUACUGUAGGAUUCCAUUUAUUUUAUUUUUAAAUUCAUUUAUAUUGAGGGACACAGAAAGCGCAUGCAAGCAGGGGAGGGGAAGACAGAGAAGGAGAGAGAGAAUCCCAAACAGGCUCCUCACUGUCAGUGCAGAGCCUGAAGCCGGGCUUGAACUCACAAACCGUGAGAUCAUGACCUGAGCCGAAACUAAGUCGGUCGCUGAACUGAUUGAGCCACCCAAGUACCCCUGUAGGAUUCCAUUUAUAUGACAUUCCUGAAGGACAAGUUGUAGAAGUGGAGAGCAGAUAAGUAGUAUCCGGAAUUAAGGUGAGGUGGACGCAGGAGGGAGGAGGGCGUGGCCCUGAAAGGGCAACAUGGCGGGGGUGGGUGGGGGCAGGGAUCUCUGUGGUGAUGGACUUGUUUUGUAUCCGUGUCAGUGUCUGGUGUUCGUAUUGUAUUGCCCUCUGGUUGUGCUAUUAGGAAAACUGCAUUAAACGGCAGAGAUGUAUCUGUA